rnacentral:tRNA from 1 species
GUCCCUGUAGCUUAAAAAAAGCAUAACACUGAAGAUGUUAAGAUGGCCCUCUAAACCCACGGACA